AUGGGCCCUUGUUGCUCUCAGGGUGAGCGGGAACCCCAGCCUCCUCCUCCUUGGGGGUCCGGGGGGGCGCGUCCUCCCGUUCCCGAGAGAGCCUCUGUCUCUGUCUCUCUGUCUCUCUCCUCCUUUUUCUCUCCCUCCCUCUUUCUUUUCUCUCUUUCCUCUUUAUUUUUCUCUCUUUUUUCUUUUUGUCUUUCCCUUCCUUCCUCCUCUUUCCCUCUCUUCUGUUUUCCCUGUCUUGAUUUUUUUCUUCUCUCUUUUCCCUCCUUUCUCCCACUUUCCCUCUCUUAUUUUCUCUCUCUCUCUCUCUCUCUCUCUCUUCCUUCCUUCCUUUUUUCCUUCCUUUCUCCCACUUUCCCUCUCUUCUUAGUUUCUCUCUCUUUUCUCUCUAGGUAUCUUUUCCUCCCUAUUUUUUCUCUCCCUCUUUCUUCUCUUUAUUUUCCCUUUCUGUUUUUCUUUGUCUCUGUCCCUCCCUCCCUUAUUCCUAUUUUCCCUUGUCUUUCUUUUUUCUCUCUCUUCUCUCUCUGUCCCUCCCUCCCUUCUUUUCCUCCCUCUUUCUUUUUUUCUCUUUCUUCUCUCUCUCUGUCCCACCCUCCCUUCCUCUUUUCCUCCCUCUCUCCUUCCCUCUCUUCUUUUUAUUUCUCCUAUGUCUUUUUCUCUUUCUCCCUCUCUUCUCUCUCUAUCUCUGUCCCUCCCUCCCUCCCUCCCUCUUUUCCUUCCUCCCUCCUUCCCUCUCUUUUUAUUUUCCCUGUGUCUUUCUCUCUUUCUCUCUGUCUCUGUCUCUCUCUUUCUCAGGGAUACUCUAGCUGUGGGGCCUUCCCUGCAGGGAGCCAGGAAAGCAGCUGUGGAAGCUUUGGGCUUCUAACAAUAGAAGGAGGGCUGGGGUGGGCUAUUGUGCUGGGGCAGGUGAGAGUCUCCUCUGCCUCUUGUCCCCAACCAGAUUCCUGGCCUGGAGUGCCAGGGCCUGGCUCACCUGUGCGGGCGGCUGUGCUGGCUCUCGGUGCCCCCCAGGGGCAGCCAGUUUUCAGGAGGAGUGCCCUGGGCCCCUCCUCCCUGAGAGCCAAACCUUCCCUCUCCUCCUUGACGGCCGGUUCUGGCCUCUGCUUUGGUGGCCCGGGGGUUAAGGGCAAGGUCCGGCUUUGGGCUGCCCCUGGCUCACCCACCCCUGUGCCGCUCACUGCUGCAGAGCCUGAGUUUCCUGAAGUCCUGCCUCCCCCACCCCACCCCUGCCCUGGCACCCCAGGCUUCCUCCCACCCCCACCUCACCCCCGUCUGCAGCUGCACUUGGUAUGGUCCGUGCCGGCUCCAGAGCCGUCCUCGGGGACUGACUGCAGCCUCACACGGGCGGGCGGGCAGCAGCUCCGGUGA
rnacentral:lncRNA from 1 species